rnacentral:rRNA from 1 species
UACGUAGGGGGCGAGCGUUGUCCGGAUUCAUUGGGCGUAAAGAGCUCGUAGGCGGCUUGGCAAGUCAAGUGUGAAAUCUCCAGGCUUAACCUGGAGUCGCCAUCCGAUACUGCCAUGGCUAGAGUCCGGUAGGGGCCCACGGAACUCCUGGUGUAGCGGUGAAAUGCGCAGAUAUCAGGAAGAACACCGGUGGCGAAGGCGGUGGGCUGGGCCGGUACUGACGCUGAGGAGCGAAAGCGUGGGGAGCGAACAGGAUUAGAAACCCCAGUAGUCC